CACACACAAACCCCUUAACACACAAUUCCUGGAGGCUGGGCAUGGCAGCACACACAGAAAUUAGGUCAUAAAGGCAGAAGUUCAGCCUCAGCCAGGGCUAGGUAAGACUGUCUGAAAAAUAAAACAAAACAAAACCCUAAUCAGGGCCAACAGAGCUCAGAGGGUAAAGGCAUCUGUUGUCAAGCCUGACCCUGGAGUUUGACCCCUGGAACCUACUGGUAGGAGGAAAAUAACCACUUUCACAGACUGUCUUCUGACCUCCAAGCACACGAAUAUGCACACAACAAAUAAAUAUUUUUUUAAAAAUCAGGGAGCCGGGAGCUGGAGAGAUGGAGUGUGCCACUGAAGGCAAUGCCAAUAGAAUAAGCGUUUUCUUUCGCUUGGAGCUAGUAAUUAACUGGAAGGACCAGCAACCCAAGAGAGACAUGGCCAGAGACUACGAACAGUUCACAGAAAGGAAAUGCAAAUGGCUUUUAAAUUUUUAAAAAGAUUCUCAACCUCACAGAAGAUAAGUGAAAAUUAAAACUACAUCGAGACAGCAUUUCUCAUUUAUCAGCUUGGCAAAAACCCAAAAGUUUACAACACAGUCUGUUGAUGUGGCAUUGGGGAACAGGCAUUUUCCUGCAUUGCCAGUGGGGAGAGCAAAGCAGUCAAAGUCACAGGAAGAGAGACGGGAGAUAGCAAGUACAAUCACCCGAGCAUCUACCCUGGAGCCAGCACUCCCACUCGGGAGAGCCUGCCCUUCAGCUGCGCCCCUGCACGUGGGCGAUGGCGCGUGCGGUUACUUAUGCACUGUGACACUCUGCAUAGGAAAACACACCCGAGUGUCCUUCUCCGGAGGGCUGCAUGUCUGCAUGGUGAAGCACUAAGUCACAGAGGAAGACCAGAGGAGGGACUUUGAAAACAGUACCCAGGAGAACAAUGUGUGAAUAUGUAAGAAAAACAAGGUGGCUUGUCCCUGAGGGUCAACAGUGUGGACACAGUCAACUCUGCUAAACUUCAUGCUUUAGCUCAAAGGGUGAAGAAGCUAAAUGUGGUUAUAAUUUCUUUUAGUCUCUCUCUCUCUCUGUGUCUCUCUCUCACACACACACACAUACACACACACACACACACACACACACACACGCCUGUGCACACACACACACCUCACCAGAAGCAUGUAUAAGAAACUAAUAAAAAAAUGACUGCUUGUUUUGGAGGAGGUGAAGUAUGUACAGUGUACAGUUACUUUACUUUUAAACAUAGUUUUGGGGUCUUUUGUUCUGUAUUGUUUGGGAUUUUUUAAAAUUUAGUUUUUUCCCCUCUGUAUGGGUGUUUCGCCUGCAUGUGUGUCUGUGAACCACAAACAUGCCUGAUGCCUGUGCAGGCCAGAAAAGGGCAUUGGAUGGUGGAGAACUGGGCACUGACAAUCGUGAGCCCCCGUGUGGAUGCUGACCCACCUCUCCACCACCAUCCUUUUUUAUUGAGACAUGAUCUCAUGGUAUCGAUGGCUAGCCUGGAACUCAUUAUGUAGAUCAGGCUGGCCUCAAACUCACAGAUUAGCCUGCCUCUGCCUCCUGAGGGCUAGGAUUAAGGGCAUGCACAACACAGAUCCUAGUUUUGGUUUUUAAACCAUGUGAAUAUAUUACCUAUUUAGAAGCCAGGCCUCGUGGCUCAAGACAGUUGUCCCAGUUAUACAAGAGGCUGAAGCAUGAGGACUUCAAGUUUCUGGGGUAGAAUGAAUUCAAGGACAGUCUGGGUGACUUUGCUGAGACCCUGCUGCAACAUAAAAGGAAAAAACCCCACAAAACCCAAGUUGGAGUUGUACCAUUGUGGUAGAGCCCUUGCCUGUCAAUCAAUCCCCUUGGUCCCCAGUAUCCCCCCCUCCCCACGACUCACAUAUGGACUGAGGACAUGGCUGAGUGGCAGAACAUUAGCUCAGCAUGUGCCCUGUACUCGGUUCAGCCCCCAGACCCAGGGGUUAAAAAGCAAAAAUUUAGGUUUGUAAUUUGCUUGGAUUAUUUAUUUAUUUUAUAUGUUUAAGACUUACUAAUAAGCUGGAAAGGUGGCUCAGGGGAUAAAGGUACUUGCUGCCAAGGUUUGGCAGCCUGAGUUCAAACCCCAUGAACUGACUCCCACAAACUGUUCUUUGACAUCCACACACUUGCUGCAGAGAAUGUACCAUCCCUCAAAUAAAUGCAACUUGCGUUCUGCAA